rnacentral:rRNA from 1 species
CAGUAGCCGCGGGAAUACAGAGGGUGCGAGCGUUAAUCGGAUUUACUGGGCGUAAAGCGUGCGUAGGCGGCUUCUUAAGUCGGAUGUGAAAUCCCUGAGCUUAACUUAGGAAUUGCAUUCGAUACUGGGAAGCUAGAGUAUGGGAGAGGAUGGUAGAAUUCCAGGUGUAGCGGUGAAAUGCGUAGAGAUCUGGAGGAAUACCGGUGGCGAAGGCGGCCCCCUGGACAAAGACUGACGCUCAGGUGCGAAAGCGUGGGGAGCAAACAGGGUUAGAUACCCCCGUAGUCCCUGUCUCUUAUAC